GCAUAUCAAUAAGCGGAGGAAAAGAAACCAACAGGGAUUGCCCUAGUAACGGCGAGUGAAGCGGCAACAGCUCAAAUUUGAAAUCUGGCUUCGGCCCGAGUUGUAAUUUGCAGAGGAAGCUUUAGGCGCGGCACCUUCUGAGUCCCCUGGAACGGGGCGCCAUAGAGGGUGAGAGCCCCGUAUAGUUGGAUGCCUAGCCUGUGUAAAGCUCCUUCGACGAGUCGAGUAGUUUGGGAAUGCUGCUCAAAAUGGGAGGUAAAUUUCUUCUAAAGCUAAAUACCGGCCAGAGACCGAUAGCGCACAAGUAGAGUGAUCGAAAGAUGAAAAGCACUUUGAAAAGAGGGUUAAAUAGCACGUGAAAUUGUUGAAAGGGAAGCGCUUGUGACCAGACUUGCGCCGGGCAGAUCAUCCGGUGUUCUCACCGGUGCACUCUGCCCGGCUCAGGCCAGCAUCGGUUCUCGCGGGGGGAUAAAGGUCCUGGGAACGUAGCUCCUCCGGGAGUGUUAUAGCCCGGGGCGUAAUGCCCUCGCGGGGACCGAGGUUCGCGCAUCUGCAAGGAUG
rnacentral:rRNA from 1 species